UUUUUUUGGAUAACAAAGGGUUUUGAACUCGGUAGUCAUGUUGUGUGAUUUUUCUUUCUCUUUUUUUUUUCGUGCAUCACGUAUACUUUGGGGGUUAAUUUCACUCUUUUGACUCUUUUCCUACUCGAAUUUUCCGAGCAUUUCAUAUGUUGUUAGAGUCUUAAGUCUCGGCAAGUGCAUUUUUCUCUUCUGUUUUUCUUUUCUCUUUUUUUUUUUCUCUUUUUUUUCUUUUAAAGAAAAUACAUACUAUUUUUCUUUUUGUAUGAUCUCUUAUUAUGCACUUGCCUUCUCUUUCAAGAUUUCCACCCCAAACUUAGUUUUAUUGCACAUCUUGCAAUUCACAC
rnacentral:lncRNA from 1 species